rnacentral:lncRNA from 11 species
AGAAAAUAGAAAGCAAUCAAGGGGGGCAGGCAAGAGAUCCCAAUAGUCUUAUGCAGCAGGUCUUAUUUAUCUCUAAAGUUAACUAUACUUAGACAUUCACAAAUAAGGAUUUCUUCUCUCUGGCUGUAAUAUUUCCAGACUGCUUCUGUAUUUUUUUAAAAAAAGAAAUGAAAUUAAAGCACCUUGGGGAAGAGACCAUUUCUUUAGCAAACGGAAACAUUUUCUCUGUCAUUCUUUGAACAGCAGUCCUGGGACACAGCUGGGAGAAGGACGUCUUGUCUGGCAGCAACAUCUGACUUCUCGACAACCUCCUCAGGCAUUGGCAGCUCAAGAGCAACUUCUGGUAUGACUUAGUGAUGCUGCUAAAUCCCCAAAUUUGUCAGCAUGUAAGGUAAGUAUUGUUAUUGUGUACCUUUACAUUGUUUUCAACUUAUGGAGACCCAUAUGCAAACAUCUCACAGAUUUUCCUUGGCCUCGUUCGUGCACAAGAUGUUUGGCAUUGCCUUUCAGUGAGGUUAGCAGAGGGUCCAUCUAC